rnacentral:sRNA from 1 species
UUAUUGCAGACCUAAUCUAGGGGCAGGAGGGCUUUGGUGGUCUCAGUGCUUUCAGGUUUAUUUGUUUGCCUCUGCACUUUUAAACUUGGGGCAGCGGGGAGGAUCUUGUCCAUGGAUUUCAGACAUCUGGGAGGGGCUGCUUCAGGCUUUUAGGUGGUCCUGUCUGGCAGUGCUCAGUCUACCACUGACUGCCGGUUCUGAUUGUGCCACGUUUCCAGCCACGUCACUCAUUUUGCAGGGUCUCAGAUCUCCAUUUUUCCUCCUCUCUUCCCAUAGUCACUGGCCCUUAUCUUUUGAGAUGGCUGGGAGUUUGGCCUCAGGCAAAGAGGACAUCUUCUAGAUACGGCAUUUGAAAGUAGAAACUGUAUUUUCCAAGCCCAGUUCUUCCCUCGCCCACAAUGGGAAGUAGCCACUUCAGACAUGAGAAAUGGUGUGGAUUUGGCACAUCUGUAUGCCACUUAAGCAAUUCUAACAGCUUGAAAUACUGCAGAAAAAAAUGCGUUUUGCUUCUCAAGUUGGCAGUCCCUUGGUCUGCAAUACGGGGGUCAUGCCAACGUCUCUUGCCCUGUUUACCCCUUAUUUUAGGAAACAAAUUGCCUUAUGGCUUAAAAAAAUCAUUUUGGAAGUGUGACAUGCCAGUAUAAAAGCAUAGACGUCAUGAGUGAACAGCUCAGUGGAUUUCCACAAGUAAACAGGCCCAUGUAACCAACACCUAGAUCAGGAAAUACGGCAUUGCAACCCCCUCAUCACACACACACACACACACACACACACACACACACGCACACACACACGCAUCUCCAAAAUGCCUGUCCCCGUACACUUUCCUCCCCAAAGGAAACCACUUUCCUGCCUUCCAGUAUCACAGAUUAAUAUGGAACGAUGGCUUUUAAAAAGACUUUUAAUUAUAAUUUUUAAAGACAUAUAAAAGUAGGGGGAACUGUGCACGGAAUCUCCAUGUAGCCAUCACCAGCCCCAUUGUUUGUGAACUCAUGGCCACUCUUAUUUUCUUUUACCCCACCCACCCUCCAAUUUCAACUUCGAUUGUCUUGAAGCAUAUCUCAGACAUCAUAUCAUUUUAUAUGUAAUUGUUUUAGUAUGUAUUUCUAGUCAUUAAUAUUUCACAAACAUAAGAAAAUACCGUAAAUACACCAAAAAUUAAAGAAUAAUUUAUUCAUGCCUCAACUGUCCACUCAGUGUUCAAAUCUCUCCUAUUGUGUCAUAAAUGAUUUCUGUUUGUUUUUUAAGAGUUUGCUUUUAAAUAAAAUAAGAUCCAGAUGUUAGCAGGUGGGGCAUUUUGAUUUUUAAAAACACUCUUUAUGGAAUGAGAACACGUACACAGAAAAGUGCUCAAAUCAUAAGUGUACAGCUGAUGAGUUGUCAGAAUAUGACCACAGCGUUGUAAAGAAAGCCAAAUCAAGGACCCGAAUGUGAGCAGGACCUCAGAAGCCCCCUUUGUCACUGCCUCCCAGCAAAGGCAGCACUAUCCGGACUUCUAACACCAUCGGGUCGAGGGACCUCAGACUGAAUCAAAGGAUGAAGCCUCUGCCCGUGAUGUCAUCUAUGGCCCCCAGCCCCAGCCUCUGGAAAAUCAGCUCCUCUCUGAGGAAACAAAGUCAACUAAGGCUGAGACUGGGCGCAGAGUUGGCAAACUGCCAGAAGCCUCUCGCAUCCUGAACACUAUCCUGAGUAAUUAUGACCACAAACUGCGCCCUGGCAUUGGAGGUGAGUAGCAGAACAAAAUUCUUCCCCUCCUAGAGGGUCCAGGGGUUGAGGGCAUAGGCAUGGAGAAUGCACCUGGGCAGUAACAGAGGGUGCCAUGCACAUGGACAGGAACAUCUGCUAUUGACCUGUCAGGUAAGAGGUAUUAACUCUAUUCUCAGCAGCGUCAUUGACCUUGAUCAAGACUUUUCCCUUCUCUCGCCCUCAGUUUUUCCAAUGGUAAAAUGAGAGGACUAAACUAGAUUGUUGAUCUUCAAGAUGUAUGUCCAAUUCUUAACAGUCCAUGAGCUUGGUUUUGCCAUGAAAGAACAAAUAAAGAAAUAGGAUUAGAUGCUG